rnacentral:rRNA from 1 species
UACGUAGGGCGCAAGCGUUGUCCGGAAUUAUUGGGCGUAAAGAGCUCGUAGGCGGUCUGUUGCGUCUGCUGUGAAAACUCGGGGCUUAACCCCGAGCCUGCAGUGGAUACGGGCAGACUAGAGGUAGGUAGGGGAGAAUGGAAUUCCCGGUGUAGCGGUGAAAUGCGCAGAUAUCGGGAGGAACACCGGUGGCGAAGGCGGUUCUCUGGGCCUUACCUGACGCUGAGGAGCGAAAGCGUGGGUAGCAAACAGG